rnacentral:snRNA from 1 species
AUCCCCCCUUUUCGAGAAAAAAAAUGUGGGCCAUGUGCCCACAACGAUAUUAAAUUUAUUUUUUAUGGGGGAGGGUCCACCACACUAGCUUGCUAGUGGGGCCCUCAUGUGUCGCCUGGGCGUUGCACUAUUGCCCAGGCCAGGCGCACCCCAA